GAUGAAGAACGUAGCGAAGUGCGAUAAGUAGUGUGAAUUGCAGAAUUUCGUGAAUCAUCGAAUCUUUGAACGCAAAUUGCACUCUCCGGUUUUCCGGGAGAGUAUGCCUGUUUGAGGGUCAGCCUAAAUAAAUUCGGCUUCGUUGCUGUUGUUUUCGCGGUAACGUUUUUAGUCGGGAUUUGGGUCAUCUUAAACCGAAAGGUUUUUAAGCGACUUAAAAUUUUUUUACGAUCCCACGAACGUUUCUAAGUACUUCUUACACGUUCAAGGUAUCGAAAACCCCUAUUAGGCGUGGCCGUCGUAUCGGAUCGCGUCCAUAAUAUUUAUGCUUUAACUGACCUCAGACAGGUAAGAAUACCCGCUGAACUUAAGCAUAUCAAUAAGCGGAGGA
rnacentral:misc_RNA from 1 species